rnacentral:rRNA from 1 species
UACGAAGGGGGCGAGCGUUGUUCGGAAUUACUGGGCGUAAAGGCGCGUAGGCGGCGACCCAAGUCAGAUGUGAAAGUCCUGGGCUUAACCUGGGGACUGCAUUUGAUACUGGGUGCUUGAAUUCGGGAGAGGAUAGCGGAAUUCCCAGUGUAGAGGUGAAAUUCGUAGAUAUUGGGAAGAACACCGGUGGCGAAGGCGGCUAUCUGGACCGACAUUGACGCUGAGGCGCGAAAGCGUGGGGGAGCAAACAG